GGCAGUUCCUGCUUGUAAGCAAACUCUUUGUCACACACAGCAUUUCUGUUUAAAGUGAGCAAAAACAAGGAAACCUUUUUUCCUUUUCAACUUUUGUUCUACAAACAUAAAAAACUAGAAAUACCAGAUGGACCUGGCAGUAAUUAAUGCACAGCAAGUUGAACCUUUUACCUGCCAGAUCACUUUGUGUGCCAUAGACAACUAUAAUUGAAAUGUGAUUUAGCUGAACGCUGGGUUCCACGGUUGACUUUUCCUUGAGUAAGUGAUCAGUUUUGUCUUUCCAUUGCUUUGGUCUAACACAGAAAUGAAGUUGCCUGUAAAAAAAACUCUUGCCUUCAGCAUCAGUUUAUUUUUUACACUUCUGACUUAUAUUUUGAAGUGGCCACUAUUUUUAUAAUUUUUCCCAGAGCACUUAGGGGCAAAUUAAGGAAUACAGGUAGUAACAGUGGUAGAGGGCAGCUGGGGAGGCAUUCAGCAUGUUCUGGAGCUAGUCCCACAGCCGGUGUCUGGAUUGAAGAUGGAAAAUCUGACUUCCAAAUGAACCAGGCUGGCAAAGGGCCACCCUUUUAGUUCUAACCUAGUUUGGGCAGAUUCUGAGAAGCUGCAUUUUCUUUAAAGCCUUCAAGCUAGUUACAGGUUGGCAGGAGGAAUUCACCUGUCAAGAUCAGCUUCUGGACCGGAGCUAACCAGGAUCUGCCACCCUGUGGAUACUGAAAGUGGCACAGUCCCCUUCAAGUACAGGAAGUAAAGGGAACAGGGCACUGUGACCUCAACUAGGAGAUCCCUGUCCAAAACGUUUCAAAUUCUAGUCCUCCUAAGCCUAUAGUUGCCUGAAUUUUCAUCAUUUUUUUGCACCAUAGAUCUCAUUAUUUAUUCUAAGAAUAAUAUUUUUAUGUUUUAAUUUUUAGGUUUCUCUGAUGCUGGGGGAUGGAACCGAGGUCCUAAAGCAUGUGAAGUAUGGGCUCUACCAGUAAGCUUAAUAUUUUUUGCUUAUUUUUGUUUUGUCAAUAGUGGCGAUUGAACUCAGGUCUUUGCACAUGCUAGGCAAGUGUUCUACCACUGAGCUACAUCCCCAGCCCCCAUGAGUAAUAUUUUAAGUGAAUAAAAUAAGCAUAUAUAUGUACAUAUAUAAUUUAUAUAUAAUAUGUAUAUAAUGUUAUAUAUAAUAAAUAUAUAAUAAUUUUUUAUAUAUAGUAAUAUAUGUACUUCCUUGUUAACAUAUUAAAUGAUAUGAUCUGGGUCCUAAUGACUACCAUAUAUUUAAAAUUGCUUAAGUGAUAUUUCUAAGAUAUCUGCAAAAGCAGUAAUGGGAUAUGAAAAGACCUAUGUUUUUUUUUUUUUUUUUAAACGAAAACCUGCAGGUACAUCUAAUACUACUCUGGUUCCUUGCCUACAUUCAUUAUUGAAGGAAAUGCUAAAUUUUAUUUAGAGGUGGGUGAAAAUUAAAAUUUAAUGUUUUCAUCUAAGAUCGCCUUAGAUUCUACCCGUGGACCAAGGCUAACAAACAAUACCUGAGAAAUUUGAAAACAAACAAAAACCCAACUAAUAAGCAGAGUUCAAGAACCAAGUGCUACCUGAAUGAAAAACAACUUCUAGGCUGGGGAGGCUCCUUCUUUUCCUACCAUUUUGUUUGCAAAUCUCAGUCCUAGUUACCUAGUGGAGGAUGCCGUCUGCCCUUCAUCUCCUGUUACCUGCUGGUGUGGGUUUGCACCGAGUAGUGCUGUUUCUGAACACCAGCACUACCUCAGAGAAAUAAUCUCUUUUUCUCAAAGAGAUAUAUCAUGGGCGUGGUGAUACAUGCAUGUAAUCCAGGAACUCCAGAGGCUGAGGCAGGAGGAUUCCAAGUACAAGGCAAUUUAGUGAGACACUGUCUCAAAAUAAAAACUAAAAAAGGGCUGGGAUGUAGCUCAGUGGCAGAGCACCCCUGGGUCCAAUCACUAGAACUGCCAAAAAAAAAAAGAGGGGGGGGGGGAGGGAGAGAAAAGGAGGGGGAGGAGGAGAAGAAGAAGAAAAGGAGGAGGAAGAAGGAGGGGGGAAGGGAAGGGGCAGGCAGCCACUGAAGGACAAUUAUUCAGAUACUCUACUGCCAAAUCUCCCAGAAAAUUGAGAAAAAAUAGGAUCCUUUUCUUAAUGAUUUAUCCCCAUCAAUGAUUUUGCCAUCAGCGUCCUUAAUUGUGAAGACUGCCUCAGUUAAAAGCCCAUUGUCCCCCAGCCAAAUAUUCUUCUAUGAACCUGUAAUUAGAGGUCAACAGAUGAUGUUCUAGAAUAUGAUCUUCUAGCCUAAUGUUGGUGUUUCAGAUUGGACCAAACUCAGACUUCCAAGAAUUACAACCUUGGAGUCAUCUUCAAUAUUGGUUUUUAAAAAACUAUCCUAUUAGCAGAAAUGAAACAGAGUGGCAAAGACAACUGUUGCUGUCCACAAAACUAAAAGGCACAUUAACCACAAACCUAAUAUCAAUCAAGUCACCAUCCUCACACAAUGAAAAUAUUACCACAAAGCUUAGCAAGAGAGACUUUGAAGCCUAAACCCUAGGCAGUGAUUCUUCUGUCAAAAAAAGUUUAAAAAUCUCAAUUAAUGGAUGGGGGAAAUACAUUCAUUCAUAUUUUUAUUGAGAGACAUAAUAUACUAGCCAAAAGAAACGAGAGUUUCCUGUGUAAAAUGUGUAUCCACUUUAAUAAAGGAUCAGUGGAGUUAAUGCUGCUAGCUGAGUGACCUUCACACAUGAGGGUGUGUGUAUAAUGCUGCAAAGAAUGUGUAAGUGAUUUUAAUAGUUUUCAAGGACACAAGUGCUUAGGUGGACAAAGUGUGUUCUGUGUUUUAUUUUAAAGCAAUGUGCUAAUUCAGAAGGGUAGUGCCUAUUAAAAAAAUGCUUUCUUGAUAAUUACCGCCCAUGUAAAAAAAAAGAUACUGAUUUCAACUGGGGCCUUGUUCUUUGAAAAUAAUAUCUUGCUAAAUUUGAAAAGCUGAAGAAAUUCUAAGAAGUUGUGGUUGAUAUAAACCUUGAUAUUUGCACGAGGGCAAACUGAAUUCUGAAUUACAGAUCCGGGAUCAACUUCACUUGGUCAUGAGAAAUGCAAAUCAAAACGGUGAGAUAGGAGCUGGAGUUGUGGUUCAGUGGUAAAACACUUAACCUCGUAUGUGUGAGGCACUGGGUUCAAUUCUCAUCAUAUUCAAUUCUCAUCAUAUAAAAAAUAAAUAAAUGAAAUAAAGUUAAAAAAAGAGAAAAAAGUGAGAUACUACUCUACACCCACCACAGUGGAUAGACUAAAAAUAAAUAAGAAAAAUAGCAACUGUUUAUAAGAUGUAGAAACAAAAAUUAACCCACAUACACCGUUAGUGGGAAUGUAAUAUGGUCAGCUACUGUGGGAAACAACUGGAAGUUCCUAAAAGAGUUGAACAUACAAGUUAUCAUUUGAUCCAGCUAUUGCUUCAUUUUUUUGGUACACAUCCCAGAGAAAUGAAAACAUGUCCACAAAAGACCUGGUGCAUGAAUGUUCAUAGCAGCAUUAUUCAUAAUAGCAAAAAAGUAGAGGAAAUCCAUGUGUCCAUCAUCUGAGGAAUGGAUAACAAACUGGAAUCUUAAUACAAUGCAAUGUUAACUGACCAGGAAAAGCAAUAUAGUACUGAGAUUUACUAUGAUAGAGAUGAAUGUUAAAAUAUUUUGCUAUGUCAAAGAAGACAGAAAAGAUGGCAUGUUGUAUGAUUCCAUAUAUGAAAUGGACAGAGUGGGCAAAUUGAUCGAGACAGAAAAUAGAUCAGUGAUCGCUUAGGUCUUAGGGAGAUUGUGAGGGUGAAAGCUAAAAAUUACAGGAGAUUUUGAGGGUCAAUGAUUAAAAUAUGGUAAAGUGAAUGUUGCACAACUCUGUGCAUGAAUUGUACACUUCAAAUAAGUACAAUCUGGAUCGUAUAGUAGGUAAAUUGUACCUCAAUAAAAUUGUUACAUAAAAAUAAAACAUGAUUCAAAUGACUUCUUACCUUGAAAUCAGACAGACAAAUAUGUUCCUAUGAAAAGAAUCCAAAACACAUUCAUUCAUUCAUUCAUUCGUGAAUAGGUAUAGGAUAAGAAAUAGGAAAAGAAGUAGGUGUGUGGGGAAAAUCAGUUUGAAACUUUGUUCUACUUAUUUAUUUAUUUGUACCUGGGACUGAACUUAGGGGCACUAGACCACUGAGCCACAUCCCCAGCCCUAUUUUGUAUUUUACUUAGAGUCAGGGUUCACUGAGUUGCUUAGCACCUCACUUUUUGCUGAGGCUGGCUUUGAACUCACAAUCCUCCUGCUUUAGCCUCCUGAGUCACUGGGAUUACACACACGUGUCAUUGCGCCUGGCUGUUCUUUUUAUUUUGUAAUUAAAAUGUACAUUUUGUAAUUAAAAGUUAUUUACAUAACUUUAUAUCCUUGCAGAAUGUUCUUUAUCUAGUUGGGUGCUUUCAGUCUUCAUUUCUUCAGUCUGGUGUCUCUAGUACCAGCCCUGCUUUCCUUUUCUUUGCAUGGAUUUUCUCUGAUACUUGAAACACGUCAGUUACCAUACAGUUGGAUUCACACUAUGAAUCUUACUUUUAAACCAAAUCUGGUCAUUUUUAUUUUUUAAUGGGUGCAUUCAGCUCUUCACAUCUAGUGUUCUUAGAAGACUAGAUUUUGGCUCCCUCUUUUCCUUCCUACAUUCGCUCAUUUCAAAAAGUUCAUAUACUUUUCACUUCGGGUUUUCUUUUCUUUCUUUUUGUGUGCUGGGGACUGAACCCAGGGCUUUGUGCAUGUGAGGCAAACACUCUACCAACUGAGCUAUAUCCCCAGCCCUCCCUUUUGGUUUUCUUGGUUUGUAUUAUCUCCUGUGUUUUUAAAUAGUUUACUUGUUCUUAGCGUAUUUUCUGGGGGGGGGGGGAUACUGGGGAUUGAACCCAGGGGCACUUAACCACUGAGCUACAGGCCAGCCUUCUUCAUAUUUUAGAGAUAGGGUCUCUCUCAGUUGCUCAGGGCCUCACUAAGUUGCUGAGGCUGGUUUUAAACUCAUGAUCUUCCUGCCUCAGACUCCGAGGUGCUGGAAUCAGAGGUGGGAGCCACCAGGCCUGGCCCUUCUUGGCAUUCCUUAUUGGAAUGUAUAUCUUUGGUAUUUCCUAUAAAUGUCACCCCUGAGAUGCAGUGUUUUCCCAACCUUGUGUUCUAGUCCAGCUCUGCUGUCCCCCAAUACUCUUCCACCUCACAGCACAGACCCUUAGGGCAUUUCUACUCACUCUCCUUUCUCACUAUUCUCACGAACAUCUGGGACUCUUCUUCUACCAUCCUCCACAGACUUUAAUUGUCUCCCAGCAUCAUUUAAAAAAUCUCCUACAGAAAGGCCAACUGUGCCAAUGAGAUGGCUGGAAGCUAAACCAAGAACACCUGUGUGAACCGUGGAAUCUCAACGUCAGAGAGGACCUACAAGGAUCUCAGGGGACAGUUACUAAGGUAUGGUGACAGUCUAUUUGAUUCUGUGCCACUAACAAAAGGAUUUCAGCUGUGUGAUUAG
rnacentral:lncRNA from 1 species